UAUACAGUUGGUAUUUAUAUGCUCCUAUUUGCCAUUGUCCCUCUUCUAUCAGUGAAGACACUGUAUUAGAAACGUUGAAACAAAUUGCUAGCCAUGGAUGAUUAUACAAAAAUCUCAGUAUUGCUCUGUUGUUAAUAAAAGCAAAACUGGGGUGGAAGAUUUCACAGCAGAGGGAUAUCCUUUUGCCCAGUAAUCCAGGUUCUCAUUUGAUACCAAAAAGCUGUCACGAUGAGACACUGAAUACAUUCCAGGCAAAAGCAAAGGCUAAUAAAUCACUUUGAGAAUUAUGGCUAAGGAUAAAUAUUGGAAUUUCACAGCUCUUUCAGGAGCUGCCAUGUAUUUGAACACUGAAUUAGU
rnacentral:lncRNA from 1 species